rnacentral:rRNA from 1 species
GAUGAACGCUGGCGGCGUGCCUAAUACAUGCAAGUCGAGCGAAUGGAUUAAGAGCUUGCUCUUAUGAAGUUAGCGGCGGACGGGUGAGUAACACGUGGGUAACCUGCCCAUAAGACUGGGAUAACUCCGGGAAACCGGGGCUAAUACCGGAUAAUAUUUUGAACUGCAUGGUUCAAAAUUGAAAGGCGGCUUCGGCUGUCACUUAUGGAUGGACCCGCGUCGCAUUAUCUAGUUGGUGAGGUAACGGCUCACCAAGGCAACGAUGCAUACCCGACCUUAGAGAGUGAUCCGCCACACUGGGACUGAGACACGGCCCAGACUCCUACGGGAGGCAGCAGUAGGGAAUCUUCCGCAAUGGACGAAAGUCUGACGGAGCAACGCCGCGUGAGUGAUGAAGGCUUUCGGGUCGUAAAACUCUGUUGUUAGGGAAGAACAAGUGCUAGUUGAAUAAGCUGGCACCUUGACGGUACCUAACCAGAAAGCCACGGCUAACUACGUGCCAGCAGCCGCCGUAA